GGAAGGGUACCGAAGUGGUCAUAACGGCGCUGACUCGAAAUCAGUUGGUCAGGGUAACUUGGCACGUGGGUUCGAAUCCCACUCCUUCCGCCA
rnacentral:tRNA from 2 species